UGGGGAAUUUUGGACAAUGGGGGCAACCGUGAUCCAGCAAUGCCGCGUGUGUGAAGAAGGCCUUCGGGUUGUAAAGCACUUUUGUCCGGAAAGAAAACGCCGUGGUUAAUACCCGUGGCGGAUGACGGUACCGGAAGAAUAAGCACCGGCUAACUACGUGCCAGCAGCCGCGGUAAUACGUAGGGUGCAAGCGUUAAUCGGAAUUACUGGGCGUAAAGCGUGCGCAGGCGGUCCGCUAAGACAGAUGUGAAAUCCCCGGGCUUAACCUGGGAACUGCAUUUGUGACUGGCGGGCUAGAGUAUGGCAGAGGGGGUAGAAUUCCACGUGUAGCAGUGAAAUGCGUAGAGAUGUGGAGGAAUACCGAUGGCGAAGGCAGCCCCCUGGGCCAAUACUGACGCUCAUGCACGAAAGCGUGA
rnacentral:rRNA from 1 species